rnacentral:rRNA from 1 species
CCUACGGGGGGCAGCAGUGAGGAAUAUUGGUCAAUGGACGCAAGGCUGAACCAGCCAUGUCGCGUGCAGGAUGACGGCUCUAUGAUUUGUAAACUUCUUUUAUAGGAGGGUAAAGGUAUACACGUGUGGAGGUUUGCAUGUACCCUAUGAAUAAGCAUCGGCUAACUCCGUGCCAGCAGCCGCGGUAAUACGGAGGAUGCGAGCGUUAUCCGGAUUUAUUGGGUUUAAAGGGUGCGUAGGUUGUUUGUUAAGUCAGCGGUGAAAGGUUGGGGCUCAACCCCGAAAUUGCCGGUGAUACUGGAAGACUUGAGUGUGGUUGAGGUAGGCGGAAUGCAUGGUGUAGCGGUGAAAUGCAUAGAGAUCACGCAGAACUCCGAUUGCGAAGGCAGCUUACUAAGCUAUAACUGACGCUGAAGCACGAAAGCGUGGGGAGCAAACAGGAUUAGAUACCCUUGUAGUC